rnacentral:rRNA from 1 species
GGAUCCAGACUUUGAUCCUGGCUCAGGAUGAACGCUAGCGACAGGCUUAACACAUGCAAGUUGAGGGGCAGCGAGGGAGUGGCAACACUUCUGUCGGCGACCGGCGCACGGGUGAGUAACGCGUAUGCAACCUGCCCUUCACAGGGGGAUAACCGGGAGAAAUUCCGACUAAUACCGCAUACGUCCUCCGGGGGCAUCCCCGGGGGAUGAAAGAAUUAUCGGUGAAGGAUGGGCAUGCGUGAUAUUAGGUAGUUGGCGGGGCAACGGCCCACCAAGCCCACGAUAUCUAGGGGUUCUGAGAGGAAGGUCCCCCACAUUGGUACUGAGACACGGACCAAACUCCUACGGGAGGCAGCAGUGAGGAAUAUUGGUCAAUGGACGAGAGUCUGAACCAGCCAAGUCGCGUGAAGGAAGACGGAUCUAUGGUUUGUAAACUUCUUUAGUGCGGGAGCAAAGCGGCGUCGAGACGCCUGAUGAGUGUACCGCAAGAAUAAGCAUCGGCUAACUCCGUGCCAGCAGCCGCGGUAAUAC